rnacentral:misc_RNA from 1 species
AGAUCUGGUGUCCAAACUCGGAGUUUGGCAGGAUGAAGUUGAUGACCUCGGUGAACUCGGUGAACUACCAGAAAUUCUGGGUGAUAUCUCUCGGGACCGGAGUAGCAAACAAGGAGGAGAAGUUUAAUGCAGAAGAAGCGGGUAAAUGGGGCAUGUUUGGGUGGUUGUCCAACCGGGGCUCUACUCCCUUGAUAGAUUUUUUCAUGGAGGCAAGUUCAGACAUGGUAGACAUUAAUGUGUCUGUUGCCUUCAAGGCUCUCCAUGCAGAGAGUAACUAUCUUCGCA